UUCAACAUCCAUUUCAUUUCGUAGAAAUUGAGUAGCUAGCAUCAAAUAAAUAAUUUAGAAUGUGAUUGAUUACUACUCCUGUCAGUAGAUUGAUUUACACAACAUUUCAAAGGAAUGAAUAUUCCUUUCUUUGGAAUGUUGUGUAAAAUACAAAAAAAUAUAAAAAGAUAAAUUUUUUACAGAAUAUUUUUUGGAUGAAGUGAUAAAUGAAUCUUAAUUUGAGUACAAAUUUUUCUCUAGGAUAAUUCAAGGCUUAGAGGAUUCAGGGAUUUUUUUCUAUGACAGUGGUGUCUGUCGUAAGCUUUCAUAUGAACUGAAAAAGAAAUACUUUUGGGAGAGAUGGGUUUUCAAGAAAAAAGCUUUUAACCUUUUUUCUGUAUCAUCACUAAAUGAAAAGAAAUAUCAUUCAAAACAGUGCUGAUAGGGUUGAGACAAAUGUCUUGUCCCGAAACUUCGAAGAACACAAUUGGAGAUGAUAGUAUUCCAUGGUGAUCUUGAUCAAGUUUGUUUUGAAAUGAAUAUUCAUAGACUACGGAAAAAAAGAAAUGCUAUUGCUCCAGCAGGGAGAAUAAGUAUAUUGUAUGCGAUGCCUUCCCUUUAUGGAGUUACAGAUCACCUCAUCAAGAUUCCAUCAUUCACUUUCAACAUUUUUCGUCGGAGUGUACAUAUCCCCGGACAGCCAGGUCCCUAGAUCCUUAUGCCACACUUGAUUUAUACAUUAACCUAAGAAGUGAAUUAAUUAUGUUAUUUGAAUAAAUUUUAGAUUGAUAAUUA